CGCACAAUUGCUUCCUGGUUCUACUUUAGCAGUAUUCAAAGCAGCUCCAUAACCUGUGGAAACUCCACAUCCCAACAAGCAAACUUUGUCUAAAGGUGCAGCAGGAUCAAUCUAUAUUUAAAUUUAAUUUUAUCCAGUGUAUUCAGAAAAUGUCGAACAGCCCAUGAAAUGUGCUAAAGUUUUUCCUUUGCAUGUAAAUCUGGAAGUUCCAUCAGGCAUUUGCCCUUUUCCUUGAGUUAAACGAAUAACGCUGCAUAAAUUAGUUUUUGGAGAUUUGCAAAAUUUACAUUCUCUACAUUGAGGAAUAUACAAAGGUUGCAGUAAUAUGUACCCGGCUUGAAUUCAGUAACAUCUUCUCCAACACUCUCAACAAUACCGCUACCUUCAUGACCGAGAACACAAGGAAAUAUUCCUUCAGGAUCUGCUCCAGAUAAAGUAUAAGCAUCGGCUACUGCUGCGCGACACUUGAUAACCUAUUGACAUUAAGACUUUAACCUAAGAUGAUCAUCAUUGCACAAAAUAAUUAUUGCCAGCCAUUCCGAUAUAAUUAAAUAGAUAAAAAAUAACCGGAAAGAGCACAGAUAAAAAAUGAUAGUAAGUUAUUUUAUACUAUGUAUUGUUAUUUAAUGAGAGAUUGAUUGAUAACUAGUGAUUUCCGCAAUUGUAGCUUCGCAAUUAAUCGUACAAUAUCAAUAUUACGAUCAAUUGAAACUUAUACCACCCUUGUCAUGCUAUUGUGUAUUAUAUACACAUUACAAUUACAUCACUUGCAAAUGCAAUGGUAGUGACAUCUCGUAGGCAUUGAAACCUAUAAUUAAUAUAAUUUGAAUUCAAGUCAAAUUGAAUUGUUGGAUCAAAUGGCCAACUAAUAAAUUAUAUAUACUUAAGUAUUAUAUCCUAGUGAACAAAAAAAUUAAUAAAUAAAUGUCA